CCUACGGGGGGCAGCAGUGGGGAAUAUUGGACAAUGGGGGCAACCCUGAUCCAGCCAUGCCGCGUGUGUGAAGAAGGCCCUCGGGUUGUAAAGCACUUUCAGUGAGGAAGAACGCCUGGUGGUUAAUACCCAUCAGGAAAGACAUCACUCACAGAAGAAGCACCGGCUAACUCCGUGCCAACAGCCGCGGUAAUACGGAGGGUGCGAGCGUUAAUCGGAAUUACUGGGCGUAAAGCGCGCGUAGGUGGCUUGAUAAGCCGGUUGUGAAAGCCCCGGGCUCAACCUGGGAACGGCAUCCGGAACUGUCAAGCUAGAGUGCAGGAGAGGAAGGUAGAAUUCCCGGUGUAGCGGUGAAAUGCGUAGAGAUCGGGAGGAAUACCAGUGGCGAAGGCGGCCUUCUGGACUGAGACUGACACUGAGGUGCGAAAGCGUGGGUAGCAAACAGGAUUAGAUAGCCUUGUAGUC
rnacentral:rRNA from 1 species